rnacentral:rRNA from 1 species
AACGAACGCUGGCGGCAUGCCUAACACAUGCAAGUCGAACGAGACCUUCGGGUCUAGUGGCGCACGGGUGCGUAACGCGUGGGAACCUGCCUUUAGGUUCGGAAUAACUCAGAGAAAUUUGAGCUAAUACCGGAUAAUGUCUUCGGACCAAAGAUUUAUCGCCUUUAGAUGGGCCCGCGUAAGAUUAGCUAGUUGGUGGGUAAAGGCCUACCAAGGCGACGAUCUUUAGCUGGUCUGAGAGGAUGAUCAGCCACACUGGGACUGAGACACGGCCCAGACUCCUACGGGAGGCAGCAGUGGGGAAUUUUGGGACAAUGGGCGCAAGCCUGAUCCAGCAAUGCCGCGUGCAGG